ACUGAAAAAUGGCAAACUUAUUGAAAAAUAAGGACGCAAAGCUCCAGGCCUGAAUAAAAUGGCGGCUGAGCUACCAAU
rnacentral:ncRNA from 2 species